UACAGAGGGGCAAGCGUUGUUCGGAAUUACUGGGCGUAAAGGGCGCGUAGGCGGCCACCGCAAGUCGACUGUGAAAUCUCCGGGCUUAACCCGGAAAGGUCAGCCGAUACUGCGGGGCUAGAGUGCAGAAGGGGCAACUGGAAUUCUCGGUGUAGCGGUGAAAUGCGUAGAUAUCGAGAGGAACACCUGCGGCGAAGGCGGGUUGCUGGGCUGACACUGACGCUGAUGCGCGAAAGCUAGGGGAGCGAACGGG
rnacentral:rRNA from 1 species